rnacentral:rRNA from 1 species
AUUGAACGCUGGCGGCAGGCCUAACACAUGCAAGUCGAGCGGAUGAAGGGAGCUUGCUCCUGGAUUCAGCGGCGGACGGGUGAGUAAUGCCUAGGAAUCUGCCUGGUAGUGGGGGAUAACGUCCGGAAACGGGCGCUAAUACCGCAUACGUCCUGAGGGAGAAAGUGGGGGAUCUUCGGACCUCACGCUAUCAGAUGAGCCUAGGUCGGAUUAGCUAGUUGGUGGGGUAAAGGCCUACCAAGGCGACGAUCCGUAACUGGUCUGAGAGGAUGAUCAGUCACACUGGAACUGAGACACGGUCCAGACUCCUACGGGAGGCAGCAGUGGGGAAUAUUGGACAAUGGGCGAAAGCCUGAUCCAGCCAUGCCGCGUGUGUGAAGAAGGUCUUCGGAUUGUAAAGCACUUUAAGUUGGGAGGAAGGGCAGUAAGUUAAUACCUUACUGCUUUGACGUUACCAACAGAAUAAGCACCGGCUAACUUCGUG